UAACAGGCUUUUUUAGGAGCCACCAACCAGCUCCUAUAUCAUUACAU
rfam:Neotoma lepida isolate 417 scaffold_1905, whole genome shotgun sequence.